UACUGUUAGAGUUGACAAACGCAGAAGACAACAAACAUGUGCAAAUGAAAAUUUAUUUGACAUUCAUCAAUUAAAUUCUGCUGCAGAAAUUUUUGCAGUGGAAAAUACAGUUGUGCAAAAGAAGACAACAAGAGCUCAGGUAUCGUGUAAAGAAUACUAUUCCUACAAAUUACAGGAAGCUUCAGAGUAUCAAAUGCCUAC